CACGCAGGCGGUCUGGCGCGUUUGUGGUGACAGCGGGUGGCUCAACUACCCGAGCAUGGCAAAGACGGCCCGACUGGAGGGCCAGAGAGGGACACGGAAUUCCGGGUGGAGUGGUGAAAUGCGUAGAGAUCCGGAGGAACACCGAAGGCGAAGGCAGUGUCCUGGCUGGUACCUGACGCUGAGGUGCGAAAGCCAGGGGAGCGAACG
rnacentral:rRNA from 1 species